GUCCCAGACCUGCCAGGGCAGCCAGAGGGAAGCUCUGGAUCCCCACAGUUGUGACAGCACAAUGGACUUGAUCACCCCAGGAUUCCAAACCCAGAGCCCUGAGAACAUUAAGGUCAUCAGCCAAGGGCUCUGCAGCUCCGUGGUCAGGGAAUGGGGUAGUAGUAAGUGGCAUUAACCUGUCUGGGAAUGUGGAGAAGCUCUUGCUGCCUUAAAAUUCCCAUUUCCCAUGAAUGAGUCCCGAAGGAGGAUGCAACAGGAUAAACAAAGGCCGUGUUUGUGUGCUGACAGCUGGCUGUCCUUCUGGGUCAGAUAAGAAGGCAAGUUAUUGCCUCCAGGCUCUGGGAGGGACCAGGAGAGAGUCCAAGGAGCGAGAAAUGUGAACAAA